rnacentral:rRNA from 1 species
AUGGCGAACAAGUUCGAACACACAAAUGUGAUCACAAGGGAGUUUACAUACCAGUACCUGGAGGAAAUUACAGAUAAUUUUUCUGACAAAAACAUAAUUGGUAGUGGUGGGUAUGGAGUAGUUUACAAGGGAGUAUUGCCCAAUGGGGAAAAGAUUGCUCUCAAAAAGCUCUAUUGGAAGCAGGAUAUUGGUGACACAGAAUUUAGGAAUGAGUUUACUAACCUUAUGAGGGCCCAACAUCGAAAUAUUACCCAGUUGGUUGGCUACUGCUAUAAUCUAAGAGAACAACGUGUUGAGCAUAAUGGUGAAUAUAUUUCUGUUAGUGUUGAAGAAAGAGUCCUCUGCUUUGAAUACUUGCCGGAAAGCCUUGACAAGCAUAUUACCGAUAUAUCUGAUGGACUCGAUUGGAGCACACGUUUCAAAAUUAUUAAGGGAGUCUGUGAGGAUCCCAUUUACCAUCUUGACUUGAAACCCGACAAUAUAUUGCUGGACAAGAACAUGAUCCCUAAAAUUGGAGAUUUCGGUUUAUCGAAACUCUUCCUUCCAACGCAAACCAAUGACACAAGCCAAUUUGCAGGAACACCCGGAUACAUGCCACCGGAAUACAUAGAUAGAAGCGAAAUCACAUCAAAGUUUGAUGUAUUCAGUUUGGAUGUUGUCAUCAUACGGAUAAUGACGGGAAAGGAGGGUUUCUCCAGAGAAAUGUCCUCGCAAGUUUUUUUUGAGCAUGUACAUGAAAACUGGGGGAAGCGGCUGCAGGCAACAAUGUCAUCGCUUAAAUUAGAGGAAGUCAAGACAUGUAUCAAAAUAGCGUUGAAGUGUGUGGAGGUGGACAGUGAGAAAAGGCCUACUAUAGCCGAGAUUGUCUAUGAACUAAACCAUGUUGGUACCGCAGGAAGUUCGCCUAUAGAACAGGUAUAUAUAUUCGGAUCGGCUAUACACUGGAUUUAUAUAGCAUGA